rnacentral:lncRNA from 13 species
CUCCUGUAGGUUUUAACUCCAACUCUGUUCCUGGAGAGAUAAACCUCCUGUAGGUUUUAACUCCAACCCUGUUCCUGGAGAGAAAUCCUCCUGUAGGUUUUAACUCCAACCCUGUUCCUGGAGAGAUAAACCUCCUGUAGGUUUUAACUCCAACCCUGUUCCUGGAGAGAGACCCUCCUGUUGGUUUUAACUCCAACCCCAGUUGUAACCAACCUGAUUCAGAUUUUCAACCAGCUAAUUAUUAGAAUCAGGUGCACUAGAUGAGGGUUGGAGUUAAAACCUACAGGUUUAUUUCUCCAGGAACAGGGUUGGAGUUAAAACCUACAGGAGGGUCUCUCUCCAGGAACAGGGUUGGAGUUAAAACCUACAGGAGGUUUAUUUCUCCAGGAACAGGGUUGGAGUUAAAACCUACAGGAGGGUCUCUCUCCAGGGACAGGGUUGGAGUUAACCUACAGGAGGGUCUCUCUCCAGGAACAGGGUUGGAGUUAAAACCUACAGGAGGUUUAUUUCUCCAGGAACAGGGUUGGAGUUAAAACCUACAGGAGGGUCUCUCUCCAGGAACAGGGUUGGACAGCCCUGGGUCUAUAUAGUUAAUGUCAAUGUAUAUCAAUAUAUAUAUAUAUAUAUAUAUCUAUCUAUGCGCUCAAAUGGUGUCAGCUCCUGUGUAAUAUUGAACAUGUCUACCUACGGCCAUACAGUUAGAUUGUCACUGAGAUUCUUAUUCCAUAUGAUCAGCAUUCUAGGAUAUGACCACAUUCCCUACACUCAGCGGUGUCACGUUCGCUGUUAUGACACGGUAGGGCUACAGUCACAUACACAUCCAUCGUUAUACUAGGCUGUAUGUAAGCAGCAGCAGCCUAGUCCCUGUCAUUCAAACAGAAACCCAGUUUCUACUCCUCACCGCUUAUUCAGUAUAGGGUGGAGUGCACUGCAGGAGUCAAAAUGGAACCCAGUUUCUACUCCUCACUGCUUAUUCAGUAUAGGGUGGAGUGCACUGCAGGAGUCAAAAUGGAACCCAGUUUCUACUCCUCACUGCUUAUUCAGUAUAGGGUGGAGUGCACUGCAGGAGCCAAAAUGGAACCCAGUUUCUACACCUCACUGCUUAUUCAGUAUAGGGUGGAGUGCACUGCAGGAGCCAAAAUGGACCCCAGUUUCUACACCUCACUGCUUAUUCAGUAUAGGGUGGAGUGCACUGCAGGAGCCAACGCGGAACCCAGUUUCCACUCCUCACUGCUUAUUCAGUAUAGGGUGAGUGCACUACAGGAGCCAAAAUGGACGACGCUGCUGCUCUAG